UUGGUAGAUGAUAUUUUCUAUUCUCUGCUUGUUGCCUGUUCUCUUCUAUUCCUAUAUUAUAUUUCUACUACCCUGUCCUCUAAUAUAAUGAAUUAGGAAUUUCCAUAGGUGUUUCUUUCCCCACAGCUUCAACCCUAUCCCCGCAGCUCCAAUCCUAUCCCAUCAGCUUCAACCCUAUCCCAACAGCUUCAACCCUAUCCCCGCAGCUUCAACUCUAUCCCCGCAGCUUCAACCCUAUCCCAUGAGCUUCAACCCUAUCCCUGCAGCUUCAACCCUAUCCCUGCAGCUUCAACCCUAUCCCCGCAGCUUCAACCCUAUCCCCGCAGCUUCAAAGUAAAUAGAAUUACUGGCUUGUAGCCACACAUUGAAGACAGUCACUUGAUGAAGCAUUAGAAAGCCAAAUUGUUUUCUGGUAUUUGCAAGCAACAUUUUUAACACUUCUUUAAAAAUUCCGUGAUAAAUCUAAUAAACUUAUAAGUUUUGUGUAGGUUGUAAUUAUAUCCCAGUAUUUGUUGUUUUUAUGCAAUCUAAUAAAAAUUAUUAUUCGAAAAUAUAUUAACAUUUUAAAUUUGAAACUUAUAUGAACAUUUGAUUUUUAAAAUUUUCAAUAAAUUCCAGGUUUGCAUCUGGUGUGUUCGUCAGAUUUUCGUUCUUCAGAACCUUAUUUAGAUCUGUAAAUAAAUAUAUAGAGGACUGCCUACACAAUUUCUCUCUUUAAAAAACUCUUUUACCUGAAGCAUCAAACCUUCCACUAACCUUUCUUUUUUGGUUUGCCUCCUAGUCGGUGAGUUCCAAUAAACAUGAAUUUGGUAUUUGCUGCACUUUGCUUUAAUAAAAAGACUUAAAGCUGUA